rnacentral:rRNA from 1 species
UGGGGAAUAUUGGACAAUGGGCGCAAGCCUGAUCCAGCAAUGCCGCGUGUGUGAAGAAGGCCUUCGGGUUGUAAAGCACUUUUAUCAGGAGCGAAACGCUGUCGGCUAAUACCCGGCGGAACUGACGGUACCUGAGGAAUAAGCACCGGCUAACUUCGUGCCAGCAGCCGCGGUAAUACGAAGGGUGCAAGCGUUAAUCGGAAUUACUGGGCGUAAAGCGUGCGUAGGCGGUUUCUUAAGUCUGCUGUGAAAUCCCCGGGCUCAACCUGGGAAUGGCAGUGGAUACUGGGAGGCUAGAGUGUGUCAGAGGGUGGUGGAAUUCCCGGUGUAGCGGUGAAAUGCGUAGAGAUCGGGAGGAACAUCAGUGGCGAAGGCGGCCACCUGGGACAACACUGACGCUGAGGCACGAAAGCGUGGGGAGCAAACAGGAUUAGAUACCCUGGUAGUCCACGCCCUAAAGCGAUGCGAACUGGAUGUUGGUCUCAACUCGGAGAUCAGUGUCGAAGCUAACGCGUUAAGUUCGCCGCCUGGGGAGUACGGUCGCAAGACUGAAACUCAAAUGAAUU